rnacentral:rRNA from 1 species
AGUGAACGCUGGCGGUAGGCCUAACACAUGCAAGUCGAACGGCAGCACAGUAAGAGCUUGCUCUUACGGGUGGCGAGUGGCGGACGGGGGGGGAAUACAUCGGAAUCUACUUUUUCGUGGGGGAUAACGUAGGGAAACUUACGCUAAUACCGCAUACGACCUACGGGUGAAAGCAGGGGACUUUCGGACCUUGCGCGACUGAGUGAGACGAUGUCGGAUUAGCUGGUUGGCGGGGUAAAGGCCCACCAAGGCGACGAUCCGUAGCUGGUCUGAGAGGAUGGUCAGCCACACUGGUACUGAGGCACGGUCCAGACUCCUACGGGAGGCAGCAGUGGGGAAUAUUGGACAAUGGGCGCAAGCCUGCUCCAGCCAUACCGCGUGGGUGGAGGAGGCCUUCGGGUUGUAAAGCCCUUUUGUUGGGAAAGAAGAGCAGCAGGUUAAUACCCCGCUGUUCUGACGGUACCCAAAGAAUAAGCACCGGCUAACUUCGUG